AUUCCAGCUCCAAUAGCGUAUAUUAAAGUUGUUGCGGUUAAAAAGCUCGUAGUUGGAUCUCAGUUCCGGACCGACGGUACGCCGCCCGGCGUCUACUGUCGGCUUCCGAACGCUAAAGCCCGUCGGCUCGGUCGGGGUGCUCUUCAUCGAGUGUCCCGGGCGGCCGGCACGUUUACUUUGAAAAAAUUAGGGUGCUCAGAGCAGGCCAAGGCGCCUGAAUACUUGUGCAUGGAAUAAUGGAAUAGGACCUCGGUUCUAUUUUGUUGGUUUUAAGAGCCCGAGGUAAUGAUUAAUAGGAACAGACGGGGGCAUUCGUAUUGCGACGUUAGAGGUGAAAUUCUUGGAUCGUCGCAAGACGAACUACUGCGAAAGCAUUUGCCAAGAAUGUUUUCAUCA
rnacentral:rRNA from 1 species